rnacentral:lncRNA from 13 species
AUGUCUUGCUCCAGGUUUGCUUGCUCCAGGUCUGAGUUCAAGCCCUGGAUAUCCUUGUUAAUUUUCUGUCUUGUUGAUCUGUCUAAUAUUGACAGUGGAGUGUUAAAAUCUCCCACUAUUAUUGUGUGGGAGUCUAAGUCUCUUUGUAAAUCAUUAAGAACUUGCCUUACAUAUCUGGGUACUCCUGUAUUGGGUCCACAUAUAUUUAGGAUCGUUAGCUCUUCUUGUUGUAUCAAUCCUUUUACCAUUAUGUAAUGACUUUCUUUGUCUCUUUUGAUCUUUGUUGCUUUAAAGUCUUUUAUCAGAGAUGAGAAUUGCAACUCCUGCUUUUUUUUUUGCUCUCCAUUUGCUAGGUAAAACUUCCUCCAUCCCUCUAUUUUGAGCCUUUGUGUAUCCUUGCAUGUGAGAUGGGUUUCCUGGAUACAGCACACUGAUGGGUUUUGGUUUUUUAUCUAAUUUGCCAGUCUGUGUCUUUUGAUCGGUGCAUUUAGCCCAUUUACAUUUAGGGUUAAUAUUGUUAUGUGUGAAUUUGAUACUGCCAUUUUGAUGCUAGCUGGUUGUUUUGCCCGUUAGUUGAUGUAGAUACUUCAUUUUGUUGAUGCUCUAUAGCAUUUAGUGUGGUUUUGGAAUGGCUGGUACUGGUUGUUUUUUUUCUAUGUGUAGUGCCUCUUUCGGGAGCUCUUGUAAAGCAGGCCUGGUGGUGACAAAAUCUCUGAGUACUUGCUUGUUCGCAAAGGAUUUUAUUUUUCCUGCACUUAUGAAGCUCAGUUUGGCUGGAAAUGAAAUUCCGGGUUGAAAGUUCUUUUCUUUAAGGAUGUUGAAUAUUGGCCCCCACUCUCUUCUGGCUUGUAGUGUUUCUACCUAGAGAUCUGCUGUGAGUCUGACGGGCUUCCCUUUGUGGGUCAGCCGACCUUUUUCCCUGGCUGCCCUUAGCAUUUCCUCCUUUAUUUCAACCCUGCUGAAUCUGACGAUUAUGUGCCUUGGGGUUGCUCUUCUUGCCGUGUAUCUUUGUGGCAUUCUCUGUAUUUCCUGGAUUUGAGUGUUGGCUUGCCUUGUUAGGUUGGGGAAAUAUUUCUGGAUAAUAUCCUGAAGAGUAUUUUCCAGCUUGAAUUCAUUCUCUUCAUCACCCUCUGGUACACCUAACAAACGUAGGUUAGGUCUCUGCACAUAGUUUCACAUUUCUUGGAGACUUUGUUUAUUCCUUUUUGCAUUUUUUUCUGUAAUCUUGGUUUCUCAUUUUAUUUCAUUGAGUUGA